AGUAGAGAUGGGGUUUCUCCAUUUUGGUCAGGCUGGUCUCAAACUCCUGACCUCAGGUGAUCCACCCACC
rnacentral:miRNA from 1 species